CCUACGGGAGGCAGCAGUGGGGAAUAUUGGGCAAUGGGCGCAAGCCUGACCCAGCAAUGCCGCGUGAAGGAAGAAGGCCCUCGGGUUGUAAACCUCUUUUAUUAGGGACGAAACAAAUGACGGUACUGAAUGAAUAAGCCACGGCUAACUACGUGCAAGCAGCCGCGGUAAUCCGUAGGUGGCAAGCGUUAUCCGGAUUUAAUGGGUGUAAAGGGCGUGUAGGCGGGAGGGCAAGUCAGACGUGAAAUUCCAGGGCUCAACCAUGGAACUGCGUUUGAUACUGUUCUGCUUGAGAGAUGUAGAGGCAGGCGGAAUUCCGGGUGUAGCGGUGAAAUGCGUAGAGAUACGGAGGAACACCGGUGGCGAAGGCAGCCUGCUGGACAAUAACUGACGCUGAGGCGCGAAAGCGUGGGGAGCAAACAGGAUUAGAUACCCCUGUAGUC
rnacentral:rRNA from 1 species